rnacentral:rRNA from 1 species
CGGGGUGCAGCAGGCGCGAAAACUUUACAACGCUGGAAACAGCGAUAAGGGGACCUCGAGUGCCAGGUUACAAAUCUGGCUGUCGUGAUGCCUAAAAAGCAUUGCAUAGCAAGGGCCGGGCAAGACCGGUGCCAGCCGCCGCGGUAACACCGGCGGCUCGAGUGGUAACCGUUAUUAUUGGGUCUAAAGGGUCUGUAGCCGGCCGGAUAAGUCUCUUGGGAAAUCCAGCAGCUCAACUGUUGGGCUUUCAGGAGAUACUGUCUGGCUCGAGGCCGGGAGAGGUGAGAGGUACUUCAGGGGUAGGGGCGAAAUCUUGUAAUCCUUGAAGGACCACCAGUGGCGAAGGCGUCUCACCAGAACGGACCUGACGGCAAGGGACGAAAGCUAGGGGCACGAACCGGAUUAGAUACCCGGGUAGUCCUAGCCGUAAACGAUACUCGCUAGGUGUCGGCCACGGUGCGACCGUUGUCGGUGCCGUAGGGAAGCCGUGAAGCGAGCCACCUGGGAAGUACGGCCGCAAGGCUGAAACUUAAAGGAAUUGGCGGGGGAGCACAAGGGCGAUUCGCG